rnacentral:rRNA from 1 species
UUAAAUGGCUGCAGUAAUUUGACUGUACAAAGGUAGCAUAAUCAUUAGUUUUUUAAUUAAAAGCUUGUAUGAAAGGUUGGACGAAGUAAGUUCUGUCUCUUGAAAAUAUAAUUAGAAUUUAAUUUUUAAGUUAAAAAGCUUAAAUAUUAAUAAAAGACGAGAAGACCCUAUAGAGUUUAAUAUUUUUAAUAUAAUAAUUAAUUUAGAUUUAUUAAUUUUAUUAUUUUAAUAAUAUUUUAUUGGGGUAAUAGAAAGAUUAAAAUAAUUCUUUAUUUUAAAAACAUUAAUUUAUGAAUUUUUGAUCCAUUACUAAUGAUUAAAAG